AACCUGGUUGAUCCUGCCAGUAGUCAUAUGCUUGUCUCAAAGAUUAAGCCAUGCAUGUCUAAGCACAAGCCCUUGAAUGGCAAAGCCGCACAUGGCUCAUUACAACAGCCAUAGUUUAUUAGAUCGUACUUUCCUACUUGGAUAACUGUGGUAAUUCUAGAGCUAAUACACGCAGCAAAGCUCGGACUCACGAACGAGCGCAUUUAUUAGAGCAAAACCAAUCGGGUUUCGGCCCGUCCUUUGGUGAAUCUGAAUAACUCUGCAGAUCGCACGGUCUCGCACCGGCGACGCAUCUUUCAAAUGUCUGCCUUAUCAACUUUCGAUGGUAGUUUAUACGCCUACCAUGGUUGUAACGGGUAACGGAGAAUAAGGGUUCGACUCCGGAGAGGGAGCCUGAGAAACGGCUACCACAUCCAAGGAAGGCAGCAGGCACGCAAAUUACCCACUCCCGGCACGGGGAGGUAGUGACGAAAAAUAACGAGGCGGUUCUCUACGAGGCCCGCCAUCGGAAUGGGUACAAUUUAAAUCCUUUAACGAGGAUCUAUUGGAGGGCAAGUCUGGUGCCAGCAGCCGCGGUAAUUCCAGCUCCAAUAGCGUAUAUUAAAGUUGUUGCGGUUAAAAAGCUCGUAGUUGGAUCUGCGGUCAAGGGAAGUGGUCCUCCGACGGAUGGUUACUGCUUUUCCUGACCUAACUACUUCGGUUUUCCCUUGAUGCUCUUAACCGGGUGUCUUGGGCGACCGAAACGUCUACUUUGAAAAAAUUAGAGUGCUCAAAGCAGGCGUUCAGCCUGAAUAGUGGUGCAUGGAAUAAUAAAAGAGGAUCUCGGUUCUAUUUUGUCGGUAUUGGAUUGAGAUAAUGAUCGACGGGGAUAGACGGGGGCAUUCGUAUUGCGACGUUAGAGGUGAAAUUCUUGGAUCGUCGCCAGACGAACAACUGCGAAGGCAUUUGCCAAGAAUAUGCUCUUCAAUCAAGAACGAAAGCGAGAGGCGCGAACGCGAUCAGAUACCGCGGUAGUUCUCGCCGUAAACGAUGCCAACUAGCGAUCCGCCGGAGUUAAAUGAUGACUCGGCGGGCAGCUUCCGGGAAACCAAAGUUUUUGGGUUCCGGGGGAAGUAUGGUUGCAAAGCUGAAACUUAAAGGAAUUGACGGAAGGGCACCACCAGGAGUGGAGCCUGCGGCUUAAUUUGACUCAACACGGGGAAACUCACCCGGCCCGGACACCGUAAGGAUUGACAGAUUGAGAGCUCUUUCUUGAUUCGGUGGGUGGUGGUGCAUGGCCGUUCUUAGUUGGUGGAGCGAUUUGUCUGGUUAAUUCCGAUAACGAACGAGACUCUAGCCUGCUAAAUAGACAGUGAAUCGUUAGUUCACUGUACUUCUUAGAGGGACAAGCGGCAUCUAGCUGCACGAGAUUGAGCAAUAACAGGUCUGUGAUGCCCUUAGAUGUUCGGGGCUGCACGCGCGCUACACUGAAGGAAUCAACAUGCAUUCUACCUUACCCGAAAGGGUUUGGUAACCCGUUGAAACUCCUUCGUGAUUGGGAUAGGGACUUGCAAUUAUGGCCCUUGAACGAGGAAUUCCCAGUAAGUGCGGGUCAUCAGCUCGCGUUGAUUACGUCCCUGCCCUUUGUACACACCGCCCGUCGCUACUACCGAUUGGAUGAUUCAGUGAGCUAUUCGGACUGAUGUCGAAGCGGCUUCACGGCUGCCUCGGUCUUUCGGAAAGAUUCGCAAGCUCAAUUAUCUAGAGGAAGUAAAAGUCGUAACAAGGUUUCCGUAGGUGAACCUGCAGAAGGAUCAA
rnacentral:rRNA from 1 species